rnacentral:rRNA from 2 species
GCUCAGGACGAACGCUGGCGGCGUGCCUAAUACAUGCAAGUCGAGCGGACUGAUGGGAGCUUGCUCCCUGAUGUUAGCGGCGGACGGGUGAGUAACACGUGGGCAACCUGCCUGUAAGACUGGGAUAACUCCGGGAAACCGGGGCUAAUACCGGAUAACCCGUUCCACCUCAUGGUGGAGCGGUAAAAGAUGGCCUCUGGCUAUCACUUACAGAUGGGCCCGCGGCGCAUUAGCUAGUUGGUAAGGUAACGGCUUACCAAGGCGACGAUGCGUAGCCGACCUGAGAGGGUGAUCGGCCACACUGGGACUGAGACACGGCCCAGACUCCUACGGGAGGCAGCAGUAGGGAAUCUUCCGCAAUGGACGAAAGUCUGACGGAGCAACGCCGCGUGAGUGAUGAAGGUUUUCGGAUCGUAAAGCUCUGUUGUUAGGGAAGAACAAGUGCCGU